rnacentral:rRNA from 1 species
UACGGAGGAUCCAAGCGUUAUCCGGAUUUAUUGGGUUUAAAGGGUGCGUAGGCGGCCUGUUAAGUCAGGGGUGAAAGACGGUAGCUCAACUAUCGCAGUGCCCUUGAUACUGAUGGGCUUGAAUACACUAGAGGUAGGCGGAAUGUGACAAGUAGCGGUGAAAUGCAUAGAUAUGUCACAGAACACCGAAUUGCGAAGGCAGCUUACUAUGGUGUCAUUGACGCUGAGGCACGAAAGCGUGGGGAUCAAACAGG